GAACGCGAAGAACCUUACCCGGGCUUGAAUUGCAGAGGAAGGAUUUAGAGAUAAUGACGCCCUUCGGGGCCUCUGUGAAGGUGCUGCAUGGUUGUCGUCAGCUCGUGCCGUGAGGUGUCGGCUUAAGUGCCAUAACGAGCGCAACCCCUCUCUUCAGUUGCCAUCAGGUUAAGCUGGGCACUCUGGAGACACUGCCACCGUAAGGUGUGAGGAAGGUGGGGAUGACGUCAAAUCAGCACGGCCCUUACGUCCGGGGCUACACACGUGUUACAAUGGCCGGUACAGAGGGACGGUGUAAUGCAAAUUGCAUCCAACCUUGAAAGCCGGUCCCAGUUCGGACUGGGGUCUGCAACCCGACCCCACGAAGCUGGAUUCGCUAGUAAUCGCGCAUCAGCCAUGGCGCGGUGAAUACGUUCCCGGGUCUUGUACACACC
rnacentral:rRNA from 1 species